rnacentral:lncRNA from 1 species
AUCGAUAGUGUUAUUAAGUGUUUUUGUUUUGCUAAAUUUUGUUAUAUUGCUUAUCAAGAAAUAGAAGAUGAUAGUUUUUAUUAGUGUUCUUGUUUUGCUAAAUUUUUUUAUAUUGUUUCAAGAAAUGAAGAUGAUUGAUAGUGUUAUUAGUGUUCUUGUUUGCUAAAUUUUGUAUAUUGUUUUAUCAAGAAAUGAGAAGAUUUGAUAGUGUAUUAGUGUUCUUGUUUGCUAAAUUAUGUAUAUUGUUAUCAAGAAAUAGAAGAUUGAUAUGUUAUAGUGUUCUUGUUUUGCUAAUAUUUUGUAUAUUGUUAUCAAGAAAUGAGAAGAUUGAUAGUUUAUAUAAGUGUUUUUUGUUUUGCUAAAUUUGUAUAUUGUUACAUAGAAAUGAGAAGAUUGAUAGUGUUAUUUAGUGUUCUUGUUUUGCUAAAUUUUUGUAUAUUGUUAUCAAGAAAUGAGAAGAUGAUAGUGUUAUAGUGUUCUUGUUUUGCUAAAUUUUGUAUAUUUUAUCAAGAAAUGAGAAGAUUGAAGUGUUAUUAGUGUUCUUGUUUUGGCUAAAAUUUUGUAUAUUGUUUACUCAAGAAAUGAGAAGAUAUGAUUGUGUUAUUAGUUCUUGUUUUGCUAUUUUGUUAUUAUUAUCAAGAAAGGUAGAGAUUGAUAGUUGUAUUAGUUUCUUGUUUUGCUAAAUUGUGUAUAUUGUUAUCAAGAAAUGAGAAGAUUGAUAGGUUAUUGUGUUCUUGUUUGCUAAAUUUUGUAAUUGUUAUCGAAGAAAUGAUAGAGAAGAUUGAUAGUGUUAUUAGUGUUCUUUUUUGCAAUUUUGUAUUAUGUUAUCAAGAAAUGAGAGAUUGAUAGUGUUAUUAGUGUUCUUGUUUGCUAAAUUUUGUAUAUUGUUAUCAAGAAAUAGAAGGUGUAGUGUUAUUUAGUGUUCUUGUUUUGCUAAUUUUGUAUAUUUUAUCAAGAAAUGAGAAGAUUGAUAGUGUUAUUAUAAGUUCUUGUUUUGCUAAAUUUUAGUAUAUAUUUUAUCAGAAAUGAGAAGAUUGAUAGUGUAUAUUAGUGUUCUUGUUUUCUAAAUUUAUGAUUAUAUUGUUUCAAGAAUUGAGAAGAUUGAUAUGUAUUAGUGUUCUUGUUUGCUAAAUUUUGUAUAUGUUAUCAAGAAAUGAGAAGAUUGAUAGUGUUAUUAGUGUUCUUGUUUUGCUAAAUUUGUAUAUGUUUCAAGAAAUGAGAAGAUUGAUAAUGUUAUUAGUUGUUCUGUUUUCUAAAUUUUUGUAUAUUUUAUCAAGAAAUAGAGAUUGAUAGUGUUUUGUUGUUCUUGUUUUGCUAAAUUUUGUAUAUUGUUAUCAGAAUGAGAAGAUUGAUAGUGUUAUUAGUGUUCUUGUUUUGCUAAAUUUGUAUUAUUGUUAUCAAGAAAUGAGAAGAUUGAUAGUGUUAUUAGUGUUCUUGUUUUGCUAAAUUUUGUAUAUUGUUAUCAAGAAUGAGAGAUGAUAGUAUGUUAUUAGUGUUCUUGUUUGCUAAAUUUUUGUAUAUUUUUAUCAAGAAAUGAGAAGAUUGAUAGUGUUAUUAGUGUUCUUGUUUUGCUAAUUUUUGUAUAUUGUUCAGAAAUGAGAAGAUUGAUAGUGUUAUUAGUGUUCUUGUUUUGCUAAAUUUUGUAUUGUUAUCAAGAAAUGAGAAGAUUGAUAGUUGUUUUUAGUGUUCUUGUUUGCUAAAUUUGUAUAUUGUUUCAGAAAUGAGAAGAUUGAUAGUGUUAUUAGUGUUUUGUUUUGCUAAAAUUUUGUAUAUUGUUAUCAAGAAAUGAGAAGAUUGAUAUGUAAUUAGUGUCUUGUUUGCUAAAUUUUGUAUAUUCGUUAUCGAAAAUGAGAAGAUUGAUAGUGUUAUUAGUGUUUCUUGUUUUGCUAAAUUUUGUAUAUUGUUAUCAAGAAUGAGAAGAUUGAUAGUGUUAUUAGUGUUCUUGUUUGCUAAAUUUUGUAUAUUGUUUAUCAAGAAAUGAGAAGAUUGAUAGUGUUAUUAGUGUUCUUGUUUGCUAAAUUUUGUAUAUUUUUUCAAGAAAUGAGAAGAUUGAUAGUGUUAUUAGUGUUCUUGUUUGUAAUUUUGUAUAUUGUUACAAAGAAAUGAGAAGAUUGAUAGUGUUAUUAGUGUUUCUUGUUUUGCUAAAUUUUGUAUAUUGUUUAAGAAAUGAGAAGAUUGAUAGUGUUAUUAGUGUUCUUGUUUUGCUAAAUUUUGUAUAUGUUAUCAAGAAAUAGAAGAAGGAUAGUGUUUAUUACGUGUUCUUGGUUUAGUAAACUUUGUGUAUAUUCUGGUUAUUAGAAAUGAAAGAUGAUUGUGUGUAUUAGUGUUCUUGGUUUUGCUAUUUGUAUAUAUGUUGGCAAGAAAGUGAGAAGAUCGAUAGGUGCUUAUUAAGUCGUUUCUUGUUUUCUAAUUUGAUAUUAGUUCUCAAGAAAAUGCAAAGAUUGAUUAGUUGUAGUUAUGUCUUCUGUUUUGCCACUAAAUUUUGUAUAUUGUUAUCAAGAAAUGAGAAGAUUGAAUAGUGUUAUUAGUGUUUGUUUCUGCUAGAUUUUCUGGUAUAUGUGUUUAUCAAGAAAUGAGAAAGAUUGAUAGUGUUAUUAGUGUUCUUGUUUUGCUUAAAUUUUGUAUAUUGUUAUCAAGAAAUGAGAAGAUUGAUAUGUGUUAUUAGUUCUUCUGUUUGCUAAAUUUUGUAUAUGUUAUCAAGAAUGAAGAUAGAUAGUGUUAUUAGUGUUCUUGUUUGCUAAAUUUGUAUAUUGUUAUCAAGAAAUGAGAAAUUAGAUUGUGUUAUUAAGUGUUUUGGUUUGUUUGCCUAAUUUUGAUAUUGUUUAUCCAAGAAAGAGAAGAUUGAUAGUGUUAUUAGUGUUCUUGUUUUGGCUAAAUUGUUGUAUAUUGCUUUGCAAGAAAUGCAAAGAGUUGAUAGUGUGUCAUUACUGUUUUUGUUUUGCUAAAUUUGUACAUAUUGUUUUCAAGAAAAUGAGAAGAUCUGAUAUGUUAUUAGUGUGUUGCUUGUUUGCUAAUUUUGUAUAUUUGUUAUCAAAAAAAUAGAGAAUUGAUAGUGGUUUAUUAGUGUUCUGUUUUGCUAAAUUUUGUAUAUUUGGUUAUAAGAAAUAGAGGAAAAAGGUUCGAUAGUGUUAUUAGUGUUCUGUUUUGCUAAAUUUUGUAUAUUCUUAUCCAAGAAAUAGAGAAGAUUGAAUAAUGUUAUAGUGUUCUUAGUUUUCUAAUUUUGGUAUAUUUUUGGGUUUUUAUCAAGCACCCAAAUGCCGAAGAUUGAAUCAGUGUUAUUAGUGUUUUGGUUUAUGCUAAAUUUUUGUAUAAUUGGUCUGAUCCAAAGAAACAUGAGAAGAUGAUAAUGUUAUUUUAGUGGUUUACUUGCUUAUCGGCUAAAUUUUGUAAUUGUUAUCAGAAAUUAGAAGAUUGAAUUAGUGUUAGUUAGUUGUUAUUAGUUUUUGGCUAAAAAUUUAUUGGUUAUAUUGGGUUAAUCAAAGAAUAAUGAGAAGAAGAGGUCCGAGUAGUUGAUGUAGCUAGUAGUUAGUCUUGUUUAUGCUAGAAAUAAUUUGUAUCUUGUUAUCUAAGAAAGAUUAGAAGAAUGGAAUAGUGUUAUAGGUGUUCUUAGGUUUGACUAAUGUGUAUACUUUUUGUGUCAAGAAGACGAAAGGAAGAAUGAUAGUGUUAUUGUAGUGUUUUUAUUUUGCUAAACUUAUUGCUAUAAUUCGUUAUCACAAUAAUGAGAAAGAAUGGGAUUAAGUAGGUUAUUGAGUGUUCUUCUGUUUUGCUAUCAAUUUUGUAAUAGUUGUUAUCAAAGAAAAUGAGAAGAUUAGUGUCUUCGUUAAUAUAUGUUUAUUGCAGUUUUGCUACCAUUUGUAUGAUUUUGAUUCAAGAAAUGAGAAGAAAAUCUGAAUAAUUGUUGAAAUUGAGUGUUCUUUCUUGUUAAUGCUAAAUUUUGUAAUAUAGUCUAGUCAAGAAAAUAUGAAGAUAGAUAGUGGUUAUAGUUGUUGCUGUUUAGCUAAAUUUUGUAUAUUGUUAUCAGAAAUGGAGAAGAGUCGAUUGUGUUAUAAGUGUUCUUGUUUUGCUAAUUUGGAAUAUAUUUUUGGUUUGCCCAAGUAAAGGAGAAAGAUGGAUAGGUGGUUAUUGUAUGUUCUUGUUUUGCUAAAUUGUGUUAUUGGUUGUCAGAAAAUGAAAAAGAUUGCGAGAUAGUGUUAUUAGUGUUUUUGCUUUUGCUAGAUUUGAGUAUUAAUUGUUUCUAAUGCUGAAAUGAGAAGUUUGCACAUUGAAUAGUGUUAUUCAGAUGUUCGUAUUGCUAACAUUUUUAAUAUUGUUAUACGAAAGAACAUGAAGAAUAGUUGAUAGUGUGUUUUAUGCUGCUUAGGUUGUUGUCUAGUUUUGUAAUAUUGUUUACUCAGAAUGAGAAGGUGCAAGUUGUAAUUAUGUUGCUUGUUUGCUAAAUUUUGUAUAUUGCAUUAUCAGAAGAAAAUGAGAAGAUUGAUAGUGUUAUUAGUGUUCUGGUUUUCUAAUUAUGUGUAUAUCUAGUUAGAAGGAAAGAAUAGAUUGAUAGGUUGUUAAUUAGUGGCUUCUUGUUUUGACGUAAAUUUUAGGGGAUAUUUGUUGUCAAAGAAAUGUAAGAAGAUGGAUAGAUGUUAUGUAGUGGUUCUUGUUACUGCUAAAUGAUGUUGUAUAUAGUUGUAUCCAAAGAAAAUGAGAGAGAUUGACUAGUGUUAUUUGAGUGUGUCUUGUUUUGCCUAAAUUUUUGUAUAAUGUAGUUAUGGAAGAAAUGGAGAAAGGUCGAUAGUGUUCAUUAGUGUUCGUUAGUUUGCCUAAGAUUUUAUAUAUUAGGUAUCAAAAGAAAUCGAGAAGAUUGAUAGUGCUUAAUUAGAUGUUCUGUGUUAUAUGCUGCCUAAAUUGUGUUAUUUUUGUCAUAAGAAACUGAGAAGAUUGAUAGUGGUUAUAUUGAGGGUGUUGUUUAAGUAUUGCUAAAUUUGUAUAUGUGUUAUGCAAGAAAUGAGACAGAUUAGAUAGUGCUUUGUUAGUGUUCUUGUUUUGCCCUAUACUUUGUUGGGUAUAUGUGUCUUAGUCAAAGAUAAUGAGAAGAUUGAUAGUGUUUUUUACUCGUUGUCUGUCUGAUUUGGCCCGCCUAUACUUUUGUAUAAUUCUUAUCAGAAAUAUGAGAAGAUUGAAUAGGUGUUAUUAGUGUUCUGUGUUUUGGCCGUAUAUUUUGUAUAUUCUUAAUCAACGAAAUGAGCAUAGAUUGAUGUAGUUUUUAGUGUUCUAUGGUUUUUGCCCCUAAAUUUUGUAUAUGUUGAUACAAGAAAUGAGAAGAUUGUAUAGUUAUUAGUGUUCCUAUGUUUUAUGCCUAAUUUUUGUAUUAGUUAUCAAGAAAUAUGAAGAUAGAUAGUGUUAUUAGUGUUCUUGGUUUAGACUAAUUUGUAAUAUUGUUAAUAAGAAAUGAGAAGAUAUUCCGAUUGUUUAUUAGUGUUCUUGUUUUGCCUAAUCUGUUGCAGAUAUUGGUUGUGCUCGAAUAUGGUGGCAAGACAAGGAGAAGAUGAUCGGUUUAUUAGUGUUCUUGUUUUUGCUAAAGUGUGUAUAUUUGGAUGUCCAAGUAAAUGACGAAGAUUAUAGUCGUUAUUAAAGUGUAUUUGUUUUGCAUAAAUGUUGUAAAUAUUGUAUCAAGACAGUGGAGAAGAUUGGAUAUGUGUUAUUAGUGUUACUUCGUGUUUUUCUAUACAGAUUUUGUAUAUGUGUGUAUCAAGAAUGACAAAAUUAGAUAGUGUUUUCUAGUAUUGUUCUUGUUUUACUGAGCCCUAAAUUUUGUAUAAUUGUUCAGUAGAAAUAGAAGGUCGAUAGGUCGUUAUUAGUGAUUCUUGUUUUUCGGCUGAUAGAAAUGUUGUAUAUUCUUAUCGAAGAAAUGAGAAGAUGAUAGUGUUAUUGUGUUCUUGGUUUGGCUAAUUUGUAAUAUUGUUGUAUGCAAGUACCAUGAGAAAGGAUUGAAUAGUCGUUAUUAGUGUCCUCUUAGUCUUUGGCUAAAUUUUUGUAUACUUGCUGUCCAAGAAUGAAGAAGAUUGAUAAUAUUAUUAGUCGUUCUUGGUAUGCUAAUAAAUUUUGUAUAUUGUUAUGCAAAGAAAAUGAGGAUGAUUCGAUAUGCGUUAUUAGUGUUUCUGUUUUGCCUAUAAUUUUGUAUAUGUUAUCAAAGAAAGAUGAGUAAGAGCGUCGAGUAUGUAGCUGAUUAGGUUCUUGGUUUUUGCUAAAAUUUUGGUAAUAUUGUUAUCAAGAAAUGAGAAGAGUUGAUAGUGUUAUUAGUGGUUUAAUUGUUUUGCCUAAUAAGGUUGUGUGAUGAUUUUUGUCAAAGAAAUGAGAAGAUUGGAUAAGUGUUAUUAGUGCUUUUUAUUUUUGCUAAAAUUUUGUAUAUUGUUAUCGGUAAGAAAGGAAGAAGCGGAUUGGGAUAGUGUGUUUUUAGUGGUUCUUUUGUUUUGCUAAAUUGUAUGAUUGUUAUCAAGAAAUGAAGAAGUAUUGAUAGGUUGUAUCAUUAGUGUUCUUGUUUUGGCUAUUUUGUAUAUGUUAUCAAAGAAUGAGAAGAUUGAUAUUGUUAUAUAGUGUUCUUUGUUUUGCUAUAUUUUGUAAUAUUGUUAUCAAGAAAUGAGGAGAUGAUGUGCUAUGAUGUUUUGCUAAAUUUGUAUCAUUGUUAUCAGAAGGAGGAUUGUAGUAAGUUAACUUAGCUGUCUUCAUUUGUGCUAAAUAAGUUGUUAAUCAAGAUAGUGCAGAAGAUUGGAUACGUGUUUUUAGUGUUCUUGUUCUUGCUAUUUUGUAUAUUGUUUCGAAAGGAUGAGAAGAUCGUAGUGUUAUUAGUGUUCUAUGUUUGCCUAUAAUUUUGUUAUUUGUUAUCAAGAAUGAGAAGAUUGAUAGGUAGUGAUUCUUGUUUUCUAAUUUUAGUUAUUGUUCUCAAGAAAUGAGUUGAGGGUUAUGCUUCGUUUGACUAAUUUUGUAUAUGUUAAGAAAAGUGAGAAGGAUUGACUAAUGUUAGUUGAGUUGUUUUGAUUUUGCUAAAUUUGUAGAUGUUAUCAAUAACGAUGAGAAGAGCACUUGAUAGGUAGGUUAUUAUUAGUGUUCUGUCGUUUCGAACUAUAAUUUAUUGUAUAAUUGUUAUCAAGAAAAUGAGAAGAUUAGAAUAGUGUUAAUGAAAAAGUUUGUCGUUUUGGCUAAUUUUGUAUUUCUUAUCAAGAAAUGAGAAGAUUGAUAGUGUGUAUUAGUGUUCUUUUUGACUAAUGUUUGUUAAUUGCUUAUCAAGAAAUGAGAAGAUUGAUAGUGUUAUUAGUGUUCUUGUUUUUGGCUCUAAAUUUUUGAGUAUAUUGUGAUCAAGAAUGAGAUAGUUGUAUGUUAUUAUGUUCUUGUUUAUGCUAAGUUUUGUAUAUUAGUUAUUUCAAGAAUGAUGAAGAUUGAUAGUGUAUUAGUCGUUCCUCUGUAUUGCUAAAAUUAUUGUAUAUUGUAUCAAGAAAUGAGAAGAUUCGAUUGGUGUGUAUUAGUGUUCUUGGUUUUGCUAAGUUUUUGUAUAUUGUUACAAGAAAAGGAGAAGAUGUGAUAGUGUUAUUGUGUUCAUUGUUUUGCCUAAAUUGUGUAUAUUGUUUUCAAGACAAUGAGCAAGAUGAUAUUAUUUCAUUGAGUUGCUUAUUUUAUAUGCUUUCGAAUGAGAAAUUAUGUGGUAUUAGUUUCGUUAUCAAGAAAUGACUAGACUAGGAAAUUUUCAAAGUGAACAUGGCUAUUAGUGUUCUGUUGGCUAUUAUUGUAAUAAGGAAUGUAGUAUCAAACAGCGAAAUAUGAGACAGUAUUGAAUGUUUUGAUGGCUUUUAGCACGGAUCUUUUCGUACUGCACUAAAUUUUGUCAGUUCGUUUAGUUAUCUGUUUCAAUUAGCGAGUGUAUUCCGAAUUUUAUCAGGAUGAAUGAUAGUGUAUUAGUGAUCUUGUUUUGGCUAAAUUUUGUGUAUAUUGUAUCAAUGAAUGAAAGGAUUGAUAGGGUUUAUGUGAGUCUGUUCUUGUUUUGCCUAAUACUAUGUAUAUUGUUAUCAAGAAAAUGAGAAGAUUGAUAGAUGUUAUUAGUGUUCUGUUUUGCUAAAUUUGUAUAUUGUUAUCAAGAAAUGAGAGGAUUGGAUUGUUGAUUAGUGUUCUUGUUGAUGCCUAAAAUUUUUGUAUAUUGUUAUACAAGAAAUGAGAAGAUUGAUAGUGUGAAUUAGUGUUUGCUCUGGUUUUGCUAAAUUUUGUAUAUUGUUAUCAAGAAGAUGAGAAGAUGUGAUAGGGUUUAUUAGUGUUCUUGUUUUGCCUAAAUUUUGAUUAGGUCACUUGUUAUCAAAAUAGAACAUGAGUAAGAUUGAUAGUUGAUGAUUAGUGUUCACGUGGGGUUUGUGCGUAAAUUGAUGGUAAUUUUUUGUUCAUAGAAAUGAGAAUGAUUGAUGUGUUUAUUAAGUGUUUUAUUUUUGACUAAAUUUAUGGUAGAUAUAUGUUUAUUCGAAGAAAUGUGGAGAGAUUGAUAGUGUUUUUAGGUGUUCCUGUUUUGCUAUAGUUUUUGUAUAUUGUUAUCAAGAAAAUAGAAGAUUGAUAGUGUUAUUAGUGUUCUUGUUGUUGCUUUAUUCUUGUAUAUUCUUAUCAAGAAAUGAGAAGAAUUGAUAUGUUUAUUAGUGUUCUUCGUUUUGCUAUAUUUUUGUAAUAUUCUAUAUCAAGAAAUGAGAAAAGAUUGAUAGUGUUAUAGUGUUCUUGUUUUGCCUAAAUUUUGUAUAGUUGGUUGUCAAGAAAUGAGCAAGAGUUGAUAAUGUUUAUCGUGGGGGUACCGUUUUGGAGUUCAUGGUGAGGUCUGGAAGGAGCGACUAAGGGCACCCGAUGUCAGAACACUAACAAGUGGCGUGAUAGGGUGUUUACUUAAAGGCAGAUCGCGUGGAAGACUAGAAUGUGGCGUGUCAUGCAGCAUUGGUGCUUGGUAUAACUAGUAGCCAGCUCAGUAUAUAAAGAAUUUUUGUGUGAGUAUAGCUAUGUAUACCUCCGGAGGAAGAGGAAAAGGAAGGAAUGUUGUGGAUCGAGAGUUCUAUGUUGGUAUAAGGUUGAGUGUUUCCUUGUUUUGCUCAGAUUUUGCGUAUAGUAGUUUAACCCUCCCGCCGGCACGUAAGUUGAAGAGAGAAGGAUGGGACUGAUGUGUAUCGGUAGUGUGUACUUUGAUUUUGAGGCUAAACUUGAGUGUAUACGGUUAGUUAUUUGUGUCGAAAAGAGGCGAGAGGAUCGGAAUGUUGGUGUUCAUUAGUCGUUUUUUCUGGUAUUUUGCAGAUUUGUAUAUUGUUAUCAAAGAAUGAGAAGAUUGAUAAGUGUUAUAGUGUUCUGUUUGCUAAAUUUUUGUAUAUUGUUAUCAAGAAAAUGAGACGAUGUAGUGUUAUUUAGUGUUCUUGUUUUUGCUACACAUUUUGUAUAUUGUUAUUCAAAAUGAGAAGUGUGAUAGUGUUACUAGUGUUCUUGUUUUGCAAUUUUGUAUAUUUUAUCCAAGAUAAUGAGAAAGAUGAUAGUGUUAUGUUUAUUAGUGUUCUGUGUUUGCUAAUAUUUUGUAUAAUUGUGUUAUCCAAGAAUGAGAAAGAUUGAUAGUGUUAUUAGUGUUUUUUGUUUUUGCUACAAAUUUGUAUAUUGUUUAGAGAAAUGAGAAGAUUUUGAUAAAGUCUUAUUAAGUGUUCUUGUUAUGCUAAAUGCUUUGGCUGAUAUUGUUAUCAAGAAAUGAGAAGAUUGUAGUGUUUUAGUGUUCUUGUUUUGCUAAAUUUUGUUAUUAGUAUCAAGAAAUGAAGAAGUGAUAGUGUUAUUAGUGUUCGCUUGUAUUUUGCUAAUUGUUGUAAGUAUUGUUAUCAAGAAAUGAGAAGAUUGAUAGUGUUAUUAGUGUUUCUUGUUUUGCUAAAUUUUGUAUAUUGUUUCAAGAAAUGAGAAGGCGAUAGUGUUAUUAGUGUUCUUGUUUGCUAUAUUUUGUAUAUUAUCUUAUUCCAAGAAAUCGAGAAGAUUGAUAGUGUUAUUAGUGUUCUUGUUUUGCAUAAUAUUUGUAUAAUUGUUAUCAAGAAAUGAGAAGAUUGAUAGUGUUUAUUAGUGUUCUUGUUUUGCUAAAGUUUGUAUAUUGUUAUCAAGAAAUGAGAAGUUGAUAGUUUCUAUAGUGUUCUUGUUUUGCAAAUUUUGUAUUUUUAUCAAAAUGUAGAAGAUUGAUGAGUGUUUCUUAAGUGUUCUUGUUUUGCUAAAAUUUGUAAUUUGUUUCAAGGAAAUGAGAAGAUUGAUAGUGUUAUUAUGUGUUUUUGUUUUGCUAAAUUUUGUAUAUUGGUUAUCAAAGAAAUGUGAGAAGAAUUGGAUUGAGUGUUAUUAGUGUUCUUGUUUUUGCUCGAAAUUUUAUGUAAUUCGUUAUACCGAGAAGAGAAAUGAGAAGAUCUGGAUAAGUGGUUAUUUAGUGGUUCCCUUGUUUUGCUGAAAUUUUGUAUAUUGUUUAUCACUCGAGCAAGAAAUGAGAAGAUUGAUAUGUUAUUAGGUGUUUUCUUUGUUUUGGACUGUAAAUUUUGUAUAUUGCUAUCUCAAAAUAGAGAAGAUCGAAUAGUGUUAUUAGGGUUCUUGUUUUGCUAAAUUCUUGUCAUUGUUAUCCAAGAAUAUAGAGUUAUGUGUAAGUUGAUAUCAGUUUAUCAAGAAAUAGGAGAUUGAUAGUGUUAUUAGUGUUCUUGUUUUGCUAAAUUUUGUAUAUUGUUAUCAAGAAAUGAGAGAUUGAUAGUGUUUAGUGUCUUUUUUGUAAAUUUUGUAUAUUGUUAUCAAGAAAUGAGAAGAUUGAUAGUGUAAUUAAGUGUUCUUGUUUUGUUAAAUUUUUGGUAUAUGUUAUCAAGAAAUAGAAGAUGAUAGUGGUUAUUAGUGUUCUUUUGCUAAAUUUUGUAUAUUGUUAUAAGAAAUGAGAAUGAUGUGUUAUUAGUGUUCUUUGUUUUGCUAAAUUUUGUAUAUUGUUUCAAGAAAGGAGAAGAUGGAUAGUGUUAUUAGUGUUCUUGUUUUGCUAAAUUUGUAUAUUGUUACAAGAAAUGAGAAGAUUGAUAGUGUUAUUAGUGUUUUGUUUUGCUAAAUUUUGUAUAUUGUUAUCAAGAAAUGAGAAGAUUGAUAGUGUUUAUUAGUGUUCUUGUUUUGCUAAAUUUUGUAUAUUGUUAUUCAAGAAAUGAGAAGAUUGAUAGUGUUUUAGUGUUCUUGUUUUGCUGAAAUUUUGUAUAUUGUUUCAAGAAAUGGAAGAGGUGAUAGUGUUAUUGUGUUCUUGUUUUGCUAAAUUUUUAUAUUCUUAUCAAGAAAUGAGAAGAUUGGAUAGUGUUAUUAGUGUUCUUGUUUUGCUAAUUUUGUAUAUUGUUAUCAAGAAAUGAGAGAUUGAUAGUGUUAUUAGUGUUUUGUUUGCUAAAAUUUUGUAUAUUGUUUCAAGAAAUGAAGAUGAUAGUGUUAUUAGUGUUCUUGUGUUUGCUAAAUUGUAUAUUGUAUCAAGAAUGAGAAGAUUGAUAGGUUUUUAGUGUUCUUGUUUUGCAUAAAUUUGUAUAUUUGUUAUCAAGAAUGAGAAGAUUGAUAGUGUUAUUAGUGUUUUGUUUUGCUAAAUUUUGUAUAUUGUUACAAGAAAUGAGAAGAUUGAUUGAUUAUUAGUGUUUGUUUUGCUAAAUUUUUGUAUAUUUUAUCAAGAAAUGAGAAGAUUGAUAGUGUUAUUAGUGUUCUUGUUUUGCUAAAUUUUGUAUAUUGUUAUCAAGAAAUGAGAGAUUGAUAGUGUUAUUUAGUGUUCUUGUUUUGCUAAAUUUUGUAUAUUGUUAUCAAGAAAUGAGAAGUGAUAGUGUUAUUAGUGUUCUUGUUUUGCUAAAUUUUGUAUAUUGUUAUCAAGAAAUAGAAGAUUGAUAGUGUUAUUAGUGUUUUGUUUUGCUUUCAUUUGUAUAUUGUUAUCAGAGAAUAUGAAGAUGAUAGUGGUUAUUAGUGUUCUUGUUUGCUAAUUUUGUAUAUUGUUAUAAAGAAAUGAGAAGAUGAUUGUUGUUAUUAUGUCUUGUUUUGGCUAAAUUUUGUAUUAUUGUUCAAAGAAAGGAGAAGAUGAUAGUGGUUAUAGUGUUCUUGUUUUGCUAAAUUUAGUAUAUUGUUAUCAAGAAAGAGAAGAUUGAUAGUUUAUAUAGUGUUUUUGUUUUGCUAAAUUUUGUAUAUUGUUAUCAAGAAAUGAGAAGAUUGAUAGUGUUAUUAGUGUUCUUGUUUUGCUAAAUUUUGUAUAUUGUUAUCAAAAUGAGAAGAUUGAUAGUGUUUUAGUGUUCUUGUUUUGCUAAAUUUUGUAUAUUGUUAUCAAGAAAUGAGAAGUGAUAGUGUUAUUAGUGUUCUUUUUUGCUAAAUUUUUAUAUUUUAUCAAGAAAUGAGAAGAUUGAUAGUGUUAUUUAGUGUUCUUGUUUUGCUAAUUUUGUAUAUUGUUAUCAAGAAAUGAGAAGAUUGAUAGUGUUAUUAGUGUUUGUUUUGCUAAAUUUUGUAUAUUGUUUCAAAGAAAUGAGAAGAUUGAUAUGUUAUUAGUGUUCUUGUUUGCAAAUUUUAGUAUAUUGUUAUCAAGAAAUUAGAAGAUUGAUAGUGUUAUUAGUGUUCUUGUUUUUGCUAAAGUUUUGUAUAUUGUUAUCAAGGAAUGCGAGAAGCAUCGAUAGUGUUUAUUAGUGUUUGCUUGUUUUCUAAAUUUUGUAUAUUGUUUAUCCCAAGGAAAUGACGGAAAGCUCGAUAGUGUAUUAAGUGUUCUUGUUUUGCUGUUAUUUGUAUAGGUUCCUUAUCAACUGAAUGAGAAGAUUAGAUAGUGGUUAUUAGAGUGUUCUUGUCUUCUGACUAUUUUUGGUAUAUUGUUAUCAAUAGAAAUGAGAAGCUUGGAUAAGAUGUAUUAAUAGUGUCUGUUUGCGCUAUAUUUUGUAUAUUUGCUUAUCUAAAGAAUGAAGAAGAUUGUAGUGUGUAGUUAGUAGUUCUUUGUUUUGCUAACACUUUUGUAUCAGUUGCUUUAUCGAAGUAAAUGAGAAGAUAUUAAUAGUCGUUUUUAGUGUUCUUGUAUUUUGCUAAAUGGUGUAUAUUGUUGUCAGUGAAUGCGAGAAAGAUAUUGAAUAGUUGUGAUUAGUAGUUUUUGUUUUGCCUAAAUUAGUUGUAUAUUGGUUAUCCAAGAACUGAGAUUAGAUUGAUUUAGAGGUACGUAUUAAAGUAGUCUAGUUUUGCGUCUAAAUUUGUAUUAUAUGUUAUCAAGAAUGAGAAUGGAUUGCUAAGUGGUUUAUUAGUGGUUCUUGCUUUUAGCUAAAAUUAUUGUAUAUGUAGUUAUCAAGAGAAAUGAGAAAGAAUGAAUAGUGUUAUUAGUGUUCUGUGUUUUGCUAAUUUGUAUUAGGUUGUUAUCAAGAAAUGAGAGGUCGCGUAAGUGUUUUAUUACGUGGGUUGCUUGUUUGUCUAAAUUUGUGUAUAUUCCUUUAUCACAGUAUGUGUGUAUUGAGUUUGAGGUGUCGUUACUUCAGUUUUUGUCACACUAUUUUGAUAUGAUUCUAUCAAAGAAAAUGAGAAGAUUGAUGAGUGUAUCAUUAGUGUUCUGUGUUUGUUGCAUAAAUUUUGUUAUUGUAUUAUCAUAAGAAAAUGAAAGAUUUGAUAGUGUUUAUUAGUGUCGCUUUGUUUUUGCUAAAUUUGUAUAUUGUUAUCUAUAUAUAUAAGCGUAAAUACAGGAAGAGUUGAUACGUAGUAGUAGAUGUUAGUGUUCUUGUUUUGCUAAUUUUGUAAUAUUGUUAUCAAGAAUGAAGUAAGGUCGAUAGUGUUAUUAGUGUUCUUGUUUUGGCUAAAUUUGUAAUAUUCUUAUCAACGAAAUCGAGAAGAUUGAUAGUGUUAUAGUGUUUCUUGUUUUGCUUAAUUUUGUAUAUUCUUAUCAAGAAAUAGAAGAUUGAUAGUGUUUAUAUUAGUGGGUUUCUUGGUUUUGCUAAUUUUGUAUAUUGUUGUCCAAGCAAUGAGAAGAUUGAUACUGUUUAUUAGUGUCUUGUUAUGCUAAAAUUUUGUAUAGUUAUCAAAAGAAAUGAAGAAAGAUUGAUAGUGUUAUUAGUGUUCCUUGUUUGCUAAUUUGUAUAUUGUUAUCAAGAAAUGAGAAGAUCGAUUGGUUUUAAGUGUUCUUGUUUUGCUAAUUUGUAAAAUAUUGUUGCCAAGAAAGGAGAAGAUGAUAGUGUUUACUUAGUGUUCUUGUUUUGCUAAAUUGUGUAUAUUGUUUGUCAAGAAUGAGAAGCUUGAAUAGUGUAUUAGUGUUUUGUUUUGCUAAAUUUUGUAUAUUGUUCAUCAAGAAAUGAGAAGAUGUAAUAGUGUUAUUAGAUGUUCUUUGUUUUGCUAAAUUUUGUAUAUGUAUCAAAAAUGAGAAGAUUGAUAGUGUUUAUUCGUGUUUCUUUGUUUUGCUAAAUUUUGUAUAUUGUUAUCCAGAAAUGCGAAGAUUGGAUAGUGUUUUUAGUGUUAUUGUUUUGCUAAAUUUUGUAUAUAUGUUUAUCAAGAAAUGAGUAGGUCGAUAGUGUUAUUAGUGUUUCUUGUUUUGCUAAAUUUGUAUAUUCUUAUCAAGAAAUGAGAAGAUUGAUAGUGGUUAUUAAGUGUUCUUGUUUUGCUAUAUUUGUAUAUUGGUUUAUCAAGAAAUGAGAAGAUUGAUAGUGUUAUUGUGUUAUUGUUUUGCUUAAAUUUUGUAAUUGUUGUCCAGAAUGAGAAAGAUUGGAAUAAUGUUAUUAUGUUCUUGUUAUGCCUAAAUUUUGAUAUUGUUAUCAGAUAUACGAGAAGAUUGAUAGUGUUUUUUAGUGUUCUGUUUUGCUAAAUGUGUAUAUUGUUAGUCAGGAUGAGAAGAUUGAUAGUGGUUAUUAGUGUUUUUGUUGCUAAAAUUUUGUAUAUUGUUAUCAAGAAAUGAGAAGAUUGAUUGAUUUAUUGUGUUCUUGUUUGCUAAAUUUUGUAUAUUGUUUAUCAAGAAAUGAGAAGAUUGAUAGUGUUAUUAGUGUUCUGUUUUGCUAAAUUUGUAUAUUGUUAUCAGAAAUGAGAAGAUUGAUAGUGUUAUAGGUGUUCUUGUUUUGCUAAAUUUUGUUAUUGUUAUCAAGAAAUGAGAAAGGUCGAUAGGUUUUAUUAGAGUGUUCUUGUUUUGCUANNNNUAUUUGUUAUCAAGAAUGAGAAGAUUGAUAGUGUUAUUAGUGUUCUUGUUUUGCUAAAUUUUGUAUAUUGUUAUCAAGAAAUGAGAAGAUUGAUAGUGUGAUUAGUGUUCUUGUUUUGCUAAAUUUUGUAUAUUGUUAUCAAGAAUGAGAAGAUUGAUAGUGUUAUUAGUGUUCUUGUUUUGCUAAAUUUUGUAUAUUGUUAUCAAGAAAUGAGAAGAUUGAUAGUGUUAUUAGUGUUCUUUGUUUUGCUAAAUUUUUUAUAUUGUUAUCAAGAAAUGAGAAGAUUGAUAGUGUUAUUAGUGUUCUUGUUUGCUAAAUUUUGUAUAUUGUUAUCAAGAAAUGAGAAGAUUGAUAGUGUUUUUGUGUUUUGUUUUGCUAAAUUUUGUAUAUUGUUAUCAAGAAAUGAGAAGUUGAUAGUGUUAUUAGUGUUCUUGUUUUGCUAAAUUUUGUAUAUUGUUAUCAGAAAUAGGAAGUUGAUAGUGUUAUUAGUGUUCUUGUUAUCAAGAAACGUUUGACGCUGACCCUUUAGCAAAAUCUCUCAAAAAUGAAAGGCAUUGCCAUGGGGAAUUCUCCAUGGCUUCUUUCAGUCAAAUAAGGAAUGGAAGAUCACAACCAAGUCGAUGUAAGCCAUGACGCACUGUUCGUUUGAUAUUUAUGAUGGCUUCAAAAGGCCACACCACUGCUUCUAUAUCCGUACCACAUUUUAGGACUCUAUUAUGUGAGUUAUUUCUUUGCUUCUUUUUUCUUAGCAUCUUACGUAUAUGUUAUCAAGAAAUGAGAGAUUGAUAGUGUUAUUAGUGUUCUUGUUUGCUAAAUUUUGUAUAUUGUUAUCAAGAAAUGAGAAGAUUGAUAGUGUUAUUAGUGUUUUGUUUAAAUUUUGUAUAUUGUUAUCAAAAUGAGAAGAUUGAUAGUGUAUGUGUCUGUUUGCUAAAUUUUUAUAUUGUUAUCAAGAAAGAGAAGAUUAUAGUGUUAUUAGUGUUCUUUUUUUGCUAAUUUGUAUAUUGUUAUCAAGAAAUGAGAAGAUUGAUAGUGUUAUUAGUGUUCUUGUUUUGCUAAUUUGAUAUUGUUAUCAAGAAAUGGAAGAUUGAUAGUGUUUAUUGUCUUCUUGUUUUGCUAAAUUUUGUAUAUUGUUAUCAAGAAAGUAGAAAGAUUGAUAGUGUUAUUAGUGUUCUUGUUUUGCUAAAUUUGUAUAUUGUUAUCAAGAAAUGAGAAGAUGAUAGUGUUAUUAGUGUUCUUGUUUUGCUAAAUUUAUAUUGUUAUCAAGAAAUGAGAAGAUUGAUAGUGUUAUUAUGUUCUUGUUUUGAUAAUUUUGUAUAUUGUUAUCAAGAAAGAGAAGAUGAUAGUGUUAUUAGUGUUCUUGUUUUGCUAAAUUUUGUAUAUGUUAUCAAGAAUGAGAAGAUUGAUAGGGUUAUUAGUUUCUUGUUUGCUAAAUUUUGUAAAUUGUUAUCAAGAAAUGAGAAGAUUGAUGUGUUAUUAGUGUUCUGUUUUGCAAAUUUUGUAUAUUGUUAUCAAGAAAUGAGAAGGUUGAUAGUGUUAUUAGUGUUCUUGUUUUGCUAAAUUUUUAUUGUUAUCAAGAAAUGAGAAGAUUGAUAGUGUUAUUAGUGUUCUUAUCAAGAAACGUUUGACGCUGACCCUUUAGCAAAAUCUCUCAAAAUGAAAGGCAUGCCAUGGGGAAUUCUCCAUGGCUUCUUUCAGUCAAAAAGGAUAUGGAAGAUCACACAAGUCGAUGUAAGCCAUGACCACUGUUCGUUUGAAUUUAUGAUGGUUUUCAAAGGCCACACCAUUGCUCUUCCUAUAUUCGUACGCCAUCUUUAGGACUCUAUUAUGUGGUUAUUUCUUGCUUUUUUUCUUUAGCAUACAAUCUUAUAUUGUUAUAGAAAAAAGAAAGAUUGAUAGUGUUAUUAGUGUUCUUGUUUUCUAAAUUUUGUAUAUUGUUAUCAAGAAAUGAGAAGAUUGAUAGUGUUAUUAGUGUUCUUUUGUAAAUUUUGUAUAUUGUUAUCAAGAAAUGAGAAGAUUGAUAGUGUAUUAGUGUUCUUGUUUUGCUAAAUUUGUAUAUUGUUAUCAAGAAAGAGAAAUUGAUAGUGUUAUUAGUGUUCUUGUUUUGCUAAAUUUUGUAUAUUGUUAUCAAGAAUGAGAAGAUUGAUAGUGUUAUUAGUGUUCUUGUUUGUCUAAAUUUUGUAAUUGUUAUCAAGAAAUGAGAAGAUUGAUAGUGUUAUUAGUGUUCUUGUUUUGCUAAAUUUUGUAUUUGUUAUCAAGAAAUGAGAAGGUUGAUAGUGUUAUUAGUGUUCUUGUUUUGCUAUUUUGUAUAUUGUUAUCAAGAAAUGAGAAGAUUGAUAGUGUUAUUAGUGUUCUUAUCAAGAAACGUUUGACGCUGACCCUUUGAAAUCUCUCAAAAAUGAAAGGCAUUGCCAUGGGAAUUCUCCAUGGCUUUCUGUUCAGUCAAAAGGAUAUGGAAGAUCACAACCAAGUCGAUGUAAGCAUGACCCUGUUUUCGUUUAUUUAUGAUGGUUCAAAGGCACACCAGCUUCUAUAUUCGUACGCACAUCUUUAGGAUUAUUAGUGAGUUAUUUCUUUGCUUCUUUUUCUUAGCAUACUAAUCUGUAUAUUGUAUCAGAAAAAGAAGAUUGAUAGUGUUAUUAGUGUUUUGUUUUUCUAAAUUUUGUAUAUUGUUAUCAAGAAAUGAGAAGAUUGAUAGUGUUAUUAGUGUUCUUUUUUGCUAAAUUUUGUAUAUUGUUAUCAAGAAAUGAGAAGAUUGAUAGUGUAUUUAGUGUUCUUGUUUUGCUAAAUUUUGUAUAUUGUUAUCAAGAAAUGAGAAGAUUGAUAGUGUUAUUAGUGUUCUUGUUUUGCUAAAUUUUGUAUAUUGUUAUCAAGAAAUGAGAAGAUUGAUAGUGUUAUUAGUGUUCUUGUUUUGCUAAAUUUUAUAUUGAUACAAGAAAUGAGAAGAUUGAUAGUGUUAUUAGUGUUCUUGUUGCUAAAUUUUGUAUAUUGUUCAAGAAAUGAGAAGAUUGAUAGUGUUAUUAGUGUUUUGUUUUGCUAAAUUUUGUAUAUGUUAUCAAGAAAUGAGAUAUGAGUGUAUUAGUGUUCUUGUUUUGCUAAAUUUGUAUAUUGUUAUCAGAAAAUGAGAAGUUGAUAGUGUUAUUAGUGUUCUGUUUUGCUUAUUUUGUAUAUUGUUAUCAAGAAAUGAGAAGAUUGAUAGUGUUUAUUAGUGUUUCUUGUUAUCAAGAAACGUUUGACCGCUGACCCUUUAGCAAAAUCUCUCAAAAAUGAAAGGCAUUGCCAUGGGGAAUUCUCCAUGGCUUCUAUUCAGUAAAAUAAGGAUAUGGAAGAUUGUUAUUAGUGUUCUUGUUUUGCAAAAUUUUGUAUAUUGUUAUCAAGAAAUGAGAAGAUUGAUAGUGUUAUUAGUGUUCUUGUUUUGCUAAAUUUUGUAUAUUGUUAUCAAGAAAUGAGAAGAUUGAGAGUGGUAUUAGUGUUCUUGUUUUGCUAAAUUUUGUAUAUUGUUAUCAAGAAAUUAGAAGUUUGAUAGUGUUAUUAGUGUUCUUGUUUUGCUAAAUUUUGUAUAAUUUUAUCAAGAAAUGAGAAGAUUGAUAGUGUUAUUAGUGUUCUUGUUUUGCUAAAUUCUAUAUAUUGUUAUCAAGAAAUGAGAAGAUUGAUAGGGUUAUUAGUAUUCAUGUUUUGCUAAAUAUUGUAUAUUGUUAUCAAGAAAUGAGUAGAUUGAUAGUGUUAUUAGUGUUCUUGUUUUGCUAAAUUUUGUAUAUUGUUAUCAAGAAAUUAGAAGAUUGAUAGUGUUAUUAGUGUUCUUGUUUUGCUAAAUUUUGUAUAUUGUUAUCAAGAAAUGUGAGAAGAUUGAUAGUGUUAUUAGUGUUUCUUGUUUUUGCUAAAUUUUGUAUAUUUUAUCAAGAAAUGAGAAGAUUGAUAGUGUUAUUAGUGUUCUUGUUUUGCUAAAUUUGUAUAUUGUUUCAAGAAAUGAGAAGAUUGAUAGUGUUUAUUAGUGUUCUGUUUGCUAAAUUUUGUAUAUGUUAUCAAGAAAUGAGAAGAUUGAUAGUGUUAUUAGUGUUCUUGUUUUGCUAAAUUUUGUAUAUUGUUAUCAAGAAUGAGAAGAUGUGUGUGUUUUAUUAGUUCUUGUUUUGCUAAUUUUGUAUUGUUCAAGAAAUGGAGAAGAUGAUAGGUGUUUAUUGUGCUUCUUUUGCUAAAUUGUAUAUUGUUUCAAAAAAUGAGAAGAUGAUAGUGUUUUAUGUGUUCUUUUUUUGCUAAAUUUUGUAUAUUGUUAUCAAGAAAUGAGAAGAUUGAUAGUGUAUUAGUGUUCUUGUUUUGCUAAAUUUGUAUAUUGUUAUCAAGAAAUGGAGAAGAUUGAUAGUGUUAUUGUAGUGUUCUUGUUUUGCUAAAUUUUGUAUAUUGUUAUAAGAAAUGAGAGAGUUGAUAGUGUUAUUAGUGUUCUUUGGUUUGCUAAAUUUUGUAUAUUUGUUAUCAAGAAAUGAGAAGUAUGAGAUAGUGUUAGUUAGUGUUCUUGUUUUGCUGAAUUUUUGUAUAUUGUUAUCAAGAAAUGAGAAGAUUGAUAGUGUUAUUAGUGGUUUUCGUUUUGCUAAAUUUUGUAUAUUGUUUCAAGAAUGAGAAGAUUGAUAUGUUAUUAGUGUUCUUGUUUGCUAAAUUUGUAUAUUGUUAUCAAGAAUGAGAAGAUUGAAUAGUGUUAUUAGUGUUCUUGUUUUGCUAAAUUUUGUAUAUUGUUUAUCAAGAAAUGAGAAGUGAUAGUGUUUAUUAGUGUUCUUGUUUUGCUAAAUUUUGUAUAUUUUAUCAAGAAUGAGAAGAUUGAUAGUGUUAUUAGUGUUCUUGUUUUGCUAAAUUUUGUAUAUUGUUAUCAAGAAUAGAAGAUUGAUAGUGUUAUUAGUGUUCUUGUUUUGCUAAAUUUUGUAUAUUGUGUCAAAGAAAUGAGAAGAUUGAUAGUGUUAUUAGUGUUCUUUGUUUGCUAAAAUUUGUAUAUUGUUAUCAAGAAAUGAGAAGAUUGAUAGUGUUAUUAGUGUUCUUGUUUUGCUAAAUUUGUAUAUUGUUUAUCAAGAAAUGAGAAGAUUGAUAGUGUUAUUAGUGUUCUUGUUUUGCUAAAUUUUGUAUAUUGUUAUCUAAGAAAUGAAGAAGAUUGAUAGUGUUAUUAGUGUUCUUGUUUUGCUAAAUUUUGUAUAUUGUUAUCAAGAAUAAUGAAGUACGAUAGUGUUAUUAGUGUUCUUGUUUUGCUAAAUUUUGUAUUAUUGUUAUCAAGAAAUGAGAGAUUGAUAGCUGUAUUAGUGUUCUUGUUUUGCUAAAUUUUGUAUAUUGUUAUCAAGAAAUGAGAAGAUUGAUAGUGUUAUUAGUGUUCUUGUUUUUUUGCUAAAUUCUAUAUAUUGUUAUCAAGAAAUGAGAAGAUUGAUAGGGUUAUUAGUAUUCAUGUUUUGCUAAAUUUUGUAUAUUGUUAUCAAGAAAUGAGAAGAUUGAUAGGGUUAUUAUUGUUCUCGUUUUGCUAAAUUUUGUAUAUUCUUAUCAAGAAAUAAGAAGAUUGAUAGUGUUGUUAGUGUUCUUGUUUUGCUAAAUUUUGUAUAUUGUUAUCAAGAAAUGAGAAGCUUGAUAGUGUUAUUAGUCGUCUUGUUUUUCUAAAUUUUGUAUAUUAUUAUCAAGAAAUGAGAAGGUUGAUAGUGUUAUUAGUGUUCUUGUUUUGCUAAAUAUUGUAUAUUGUUAUCAAGAAAUGAGAAGAUUGAUAGUCUUAUUAGUGUUCUUGUUUUGCUAAAUUAUGUAUACUGUUAUCAAGAAAUGAGAAGAUUGAUAUUGUUAUUAGUGUUCUUGUUUUGCUAAAUUUUGUAUAUUGUUAUCAAGAAAUGAGAAGAUUGAUAGUGUUAUUAGUGUUCUUGUUUUGCUAAAUUUUGUAUAUUGUUAUCAAGAAAUGAGAAGAUUGAUAGUGUUAUUUGUGUUCUUGUUUUGCUAAAUUUUGUAUAUUGUUAUCAAGAAAUGAGAAGAUUAAUAGUGUUAUUAGUGUUCUUGUUUUGCUAAAUUUUAUAUAUUGUUAUCAAGAAAUAGGAAGGUUGAUAGUGUUAAUAGUUUUCUUGUUUUGCUUAAUUUUGUAUAUUGUUGUCAAGAAAUGAGAAGAUGAUAGUGUUAUUAGUGUUCUUGUUAUCAAGAAACGUUUGAAGCUGACCCUUUAGCAAAAUCUCUCAAAAAUGAAAGGCAUUGCCAUGGGGAAUUCUCGAUGGCUUCUAUUCAGUCAAAUAAGGAUAUGGAAGAUCACAACCAAGUCGAUGUAAGUCAUGACGUGAGUUAUUUCUUUGCUUCUUUUUUCUUAGCAUACUACUCUGUAUAUUAUUAUCAAGAAAUGAGAAGAUUGAUAGUGUUAUUAGUGUUCUUGUUUUGCUAAAUUUUGUAUAUUGUUAUCAAGAAAUGAGAAGAUUGAUAUUGUUAUUAGUGUUCUUGUUUUGCUAUAUUUUGUAUAUUGUUAUAAAGAAAUGAGAAGAUUGAUAGUGUUAUUAGUGUUCUUGUUUUGCUAAAUUUUGUAUAUUGUUAUCAAGAAAUGAGAAGAUUGGUAGUGUUAUUAGUGUUCUUGUUUUGCUAAAUUNNNNNNNNNNNNNNNNNNNUGCAAGAGGAAAUUUCUUUCUCUUGAAAAAUGCAAGGCUUGCCAUGUACUGUGCGAAUCCCAUAGAGCUUCCUCCUAGUUUUCAGUCCAGAAACUCUUAAGUUGGGAUAUGGAAGAUCACAACCAAGUCGAUGUAACUCAUACGCACUGUCGUUGAUUAUGAUGGAUUCAAAGGCCACACCACUGCUUUCUAAUCCGUACGUCAACAUCUUUGAGGACGUCUAUUACGUGAGUUAUUCUUUGCUUCCCCUUUUUCUUAGCAUACUUAUCUAUAUAUUUUUUAUCAAAGGAUAAUAGUAAGAUUGAUAGUGUUAUAGUGUCGAUUGUUUUGCCUAAUUGUUGCGUAUAUGUAUCCAUACUCCAAAGAGAAGAUUGUAAUAUUAGUUAGUGUUCGUGUCUUUUGCUAAAAUUUUAUUUAUCAAGAAACGAGAGAGGAUUGAUAGUGCUGAUUUUAGUAGUUUCUUGUUUACGUAAAAUUGUAGACUUAUUUCAAGAAAUGAGAAAGAUUGAUAAAUGUUAUUAGUUUUGCUUGUUUUGCUUAAAUUUGCUGAUGUUAUCAAGAAAUAUAGAUGAUAGUGUUAUUAGUGUGCUUGUUUUUCUAAAUUUGUAUAUUUAUUCAAGAAAUGAGAAGGUUGAUAAGUAUUUAAGUUUCUUGUGUUGCUAAAUUUUUAUAUUGUUUUUAGCAAAGGAAAUUGAGAAGGUUGAUAGUGUUAUUAGUAUUCUUGUUUUGCUACAAUUUUGUUAUUGUUACUCAAGAAAUGAGAAGAUGAUAGUGUUAUUUAGUGAUUCUUGGGGUUUACAAAGGAAACGUUGACGUCUGACCUAUGCUCUCAUUAAAAUUCUCUGGGAAAAAUGAACAGCAUUGCCUAGAGAAGUUUCCAUGCUGCUCUUCAGUCAAAUAAGGGAUAUGGAAGAUUCACAACCAAGCGAGUAUAGCCAUGAGCGCUACUAAUUUCGUUGGAAAUUAUGAUGGCUUCAGAACGCCACACGCUGUCUUCCUUUUUAUCCGUGACGCACAUCUUUAGGACCUUCUAUUCGGGGAGUUAGUGUCUUUGCUUUCUUUUUUCUUAGGCUAUACUUUAUCUGUAGGUAUUGUUCAUUCCAAUAUUAAGCUAGAUUUUGAGAUAGUGUGGUUUAGUGUUCUUGUUUUGCUAAAUUAUAUAUUGUUAUCAAGUAAAUGAGAGAGUGGAUAAGUGUUAUUGGUGGUUUCUUGUUUUGCUAAAUGUGUGGUAUAUUGUAUCAAGAAAUGUAGAAGAUUUGAAGUGUUAUUUGUGUUCUUGUUGUGACUAAAUCUACUAAACAAUUUGUCUUAUUGUUAUCAAGAAGAUGAGAAGAUUGAUAGUGUUAUUAAUGUUGUGAGUUGCUAAAUUUGGCUUUUGUUACUCAAGAAAUCGAGAAAGAUUGAUAGUCGUUAUUAGUGUUCUUGUUGCUAAAUUUUGUAUAUUUUACCCAAAGAAAUGAUGAAGAUUGAUAGUUGUUAUUAGUGGUUCUUGUUUUGCUAAAUUGGUAUAUUGUUAUCAGAAAUCGAAGAAGGAUUUAUAGUGUUAUUAGUGUUCUUGUUUUGCGUUAAAUUGUAUAUUAUUAUCAAGAAAUGAGAAGGUUGAUAGUCGGGUAGUUAGUGUCUCUCUCGUUUUGCUAAAUUUUGUUAUGUUAUCAAGGAAAUGAGAAGAUUGAUAGUGUUAUUAGUGUUCUUUUAUUAUUUCAAGAAACGUUUCGAAGCUGACCCUUGAUAGCGAAAUCUCUCAAAAGAAAGCAUGCACAUAAAGGACGAAAUUCUCCAAUUGGCUUUGCUAGUCAUCAAAAAGGAAUGGAAGACACAACCAAAGUGGCUAUGUAAGUCAUGACGCACUGUUCGUUUGAAUUUAGUGUAUGGCUUCACAAGGCCACACCCCGAACGCUUCCUGAUAUUGCGGUACGGCCACAUCUUUAGGACUCUAUUACGUCGAGUUAUUUCUUUGCUUCUUUGGUUUCUUAGCAGACUAACUACUGAUCUAUUGUUAUCAAGAAAUGAGAAAAAGAUAUGAUAGUGUUAGUAGUGUCAAUGUGUUUCGCUAAAUUUUGUAUAUUGUUAUCAGAAAUGAGAAGGAGUUUCUAGUGUUCAUCUAAGCUGUUCUUGUUUUUUCUGUAAUUAGUUAUAUUGUGUAUCAAGAAAUGAGACGAUUGAUUAGUUGAUUACCGUGUUCUUAUUAUUGCCUAAAUUUUGUAUAUUGUUUCAAGAACAUAGAAGAUUGAUAAUUUAUAGUGUUUUCUCUGUUUGCUAAUUUGUAUACGUAUAUUCAAUGAAUAGGAAGGAUUGAUAGUGUUAUUAGUGUUCUUGUUUGCUAAACUUUCGUGUAUAUUGUAUAUCCAAGCAAAUGAGAAUGAUUAUAGUUGUUAUUAGUGUUCUUGUUUUGCGCUAAAUUUGUAUAUGUUAUCAAGAAAUGAGAAGAUUGAUAUGUGUUAUUAUGUUGUUCUUGUUUUGCUAAAUUACUGUAUAUUGUAUCAAAAAAUGAGAAGAUUUGAUAGCUAGUUAUUGUGUUCUUUCUCGUGUUUUGCUAAAUUUGUAUAUAUGUUAUCAAGAAAUAGGAAGUUGAUAGUGUUAUUAGCUGUUCUUGGUUUUUAUAAAUUAUUGUAUAUUUAUGUAAGAAAUGAGAAGAUUGAUAUGUUAUUAGUGUUCUUGUCUUUUUUGCUAAAUUUGAUAUUGUAUCAAGAAAUGGAGAACUGAUUGAUAGUGUUUAGUGUUUAGUCAUUGUUUUGCUAAUAUGUAUACUUUGUAUCAAGAAAUGAGAGAUUGAUAGUUGAUAGGUGUUCUUGUUUUAGCUAAUAUUGUAUAUUGUUAUCAAGAAAUGAGAAGCAUUGAUAGUGUUAUUAGUGUUCUUGCUUUUGCCUAAAUUGUAUAUUGUUAUCAAGAAAUGAGAAGAUGGAUGAUAGUGUUAUUAGUGUUCUAUUUUUUGCUAAAUUUUCGCUAUAUUGAUUAUCAAGAAAUGAGAAGAUUGAUAGUGAUUUAGUGUUCUUCUUUUGCUAAAUUUUGUUAUAUUGUUUAUUAUCAAAAAGUGAGAAGAGUGAUAGAUUAGUUGUCGUUCUUGUUUUGCUUAAUUGGUAUAUUGUUAUCAAGAAAUAGAGAAGAUUGAUUAGUGUUAUUAGUGGUUUCUUGUUUUGCUAAAUUUGUAUAUUGUGUAUCAAGAAAUUGAGAGAUUGAUAGUGUAUUAGUGUUCUGUUUUGCUAAAUUUGCGUAUAUUGUUAGCAAGAAGUGAGCAAGGAUUUACUAGUGUUAUUAGGUUUCUUGUUAUUGCUAAAUUUUUGUAUAAUUAUUAAUCAAGAGAAUCGAGAAGGUUGAUAGUGGAUUAGUGCUUUCUUUUUUGCCUUAAAUUUUGUAUAUGCUUAUCUUAAUGAGAAUGAGAAGAUUGAGUGUGAUAAGUGAUUUCUAUGUUUUGCUAAUAUUUCCGUAAUAUUUUUAUCAAGAAAUGUAGAAGAUUUGAUAGUUGUAUAGAUGCCUUCUGUGUGUGCUCUAAAUUUGUAUAUUGUUACAAGAGAGAGAACAAGAUUGAUAGUGUUAUGGUGGGGUAGUGUUCUUGUUUGCUAUAAUUUGGCUAUAUUGUUAUCAAGAAAUAGAAAUUUAGAGGUAUUAGUGUUCUCGUUUUUGCAAAUUUUGUAUAUUAUUAUCAGAAUGAGAAGGUUGAUAGUGUUAUUAGUGUUCGUGUUUUGCUAAAUUUUGUUAUUGUUAUCAAGAAAUGAGAGAAUUGAUAGUGUUAUUAGUGUGCUAUAUCAAGAAACGUUUGACGACUGACCCUUUAGCAAAAAUCUGCUCAAAAAGUUGAAAGGCCCAUUGAUAGGGAAUUCUCCAGUGGCAUUCUAUCACCCCAAAUCAAGGAUAUGAAGCAUCAAAGCAGAACCAAGUCUUAUGUAAGCUAUGACGCACUGUUCGUUUGAAAUUUAUUGAUGGUCUUCAAAGGCCACACAGACUGCUUCCUAUAUUCGUAGCACAUCUUUAGGACACCUCCUAUACGUGGAGUUAUUUUCUUUGUUCUUUUUUCUCCUUUAGCAUACUAAUAUGUAACGGUUAGCAAAGAAUAGAGAAAGAAUUGAUAGUGUUAUUAGUGUUCUUUCUGCCCUAAUUGUAAUGUGUUAGUCAGAAAUGAGAAGAUUGUAGUGUUAUAGUUGUUCUCUCUUGCUAAAUUGGUAUAUUUUAUCAGAAAUGAGAAGAUUUAUAGUGUAUCUCCUGCUCUUGUUGUGCUAAUUCUCGUAUAUUAUUAUCAUAGUAAAUGAGGAAGCGUUGAUAGUGUAUUAGUCGUUCUUGUUAUGGCAUAAAAUAUUUAUUCUCUUGUAUAUUGUAGUUCAAGAAAAUGAGAGAUUGAGUGGUUAAUAAUUGUUCUUGUUAUUGCUAAAUUUGGAUAUUGUUUCAAGAAAUGAGAAGAUUGAUAGUCGUUAUUAGUGUUCUUGUUUUGCUAAAUUUUGUAUAUUGUUUACCCAGAAGAGAGAGCAUGUUGAUAGUGUUAUUAGUGUGCCUUUGCUAUUGUAUAUUGGUAUCAAGAAAUGAGAAGAUUGUUAUAGUGUUAUUAGUGUUUCGUUUUUGCUAAAUUUGUAUGAUUAUUUAUCAAGAAAUGAGAGGUUAUGUAGUUUAUUAGAUGUUCUUGUUUUGCAAAUUUGUAUAUUGUAUCAAGAACAUGAGAAGGAUGGGAUAGUGUUAUUUAAGUGUUCUGAUUAUCAAGAAAACGUUUGACGCUUGACCCUUAGCAAAAUCCUCAAAAUAUGAAAGGCAUUUGGCCAGUCGGAAUCUCAUGGCUUCUAUUCAGUCAAAUAAGGAAUAUGGAAGAUUCAGCACACCUAAGUCUUGUCCAAGUCAUGAACGCACUGUGUCGUGUUGAAGUGAGGAGAUGGCUUCAGAAGCGCCACACACUGCUUCCUAUGAUUCGUACGCACAUCUGUGGACUCUAUUGGUACGUGAGUUAUUUCUUUGCUUCUUUUUUCUAGCAUACUAAUAUGUAUAUGUUUAUCAAGAAUGAGAAGAUGAUCAGUUGUUAUUAGUGUUCUUGUUUGCUAAAUUUUUGUAUAUUAGGUUAUCAAGAAAUGAGAAAGAUGAUAUGUAAAGAUGUUCUUGCUUUGCUAAGUUUUGUAUUUUUAUCAAGAAUGAAGACGAUUGAUAGUUGUGAUUAGUGUUCUUAUUUUGCCUCAACAUUUCGCUCCUCCUUGUUAACAGAAAAGGAUGAUUGAUGAGAUGUUAGAGUGUUCCUUGUUUUGCCUAAAUUUUGUAUAUCGUAUCAAUAAAUGAGGAAGAUUGAUAGUGUUUUAUUAGUGUUCUUGUUUGUGUAAAUUUUGUAUAUUGAUAUCAAAGAAAAUGGAGAAGAUGAUAGUGGUUAUUAGUUUCUUGUUUUGCCCUUAAUUUUGUAUAUUGUUAUCAAGAAAAUGAGAAGAAUUGAUAGUGUUAUUUGUGUUCUUGUUUUGCUAAAUUUUUAGUAUAUUGUUAUCAAAAAAUCAGAAGAUGAUAGUCGUUAUUAUGUUCUUGUUUGCUAAAUUUUGUAUAUUGUUAUCAAAGAAAAUAGAAGGUUGAUAUUAUUAGUUUUCUGUUUUGUUUAAUUUUGUAUAUUGUUUAUCAAGAAAUGAGAAGAUAAGAUUGAUAGUGUUAUUUGUGUUCUUGUUUUGCUAAAUUUUGUAUAUUGUUAUCAAGAAAUGAGAAGAUUAAUGGUGUUAUUAGUGUUCUUGUUUUGCUAAAUUUUAUAUAUUGUUAUCAAGAAAUAGGAAGUUUGAAAGUGUUAAUAGUUUUCUUGUUUUGCUAAAUAUUGUAUAUUGUUAUCAAGAAAUGAGAAGAUUGAUAGUGUUAUUAGUGUUCUUGUUUUGCUAAAUUAUGUAUAUUGUUAUCAAGAAAUGAGAAUAUUGAUAUUGUUAUUAGUGUUCUUGUUUUGAUAUAUUUUGUAUAUUGUUAUAAAGAAAUGAGAAGAUUGAUAGUGUUAUUAGUGUUCUUGUUUUGCUAAAUUUGGUAUAUUGUUAUCAAGAAAUGAGAAGAUUGGUAGUGUUAUUAGUGUUCUUGUUUUGCUAAAUUUUGUUUAUUGUUAUCAAAAAAUGAGAAGAUUGAUAGUGUUAUUAGUGUUCUUGUUUUGCUAAUAUUUGUAUAUUGUUGUCAAGAAAUUAGAAGAUUGAUAGUGUUAUUAGUGUUCUUGUUUUGCUAAAUUUUGUAUAUUGUUAUCAAGAAAUGAGAAGAUUGAUAGUGUUAUUAGUGUUCUUGUUUUUCUAAAUNNNNNNNNNNNNNNNNNNNNNNNNNNNNNNNNNNNNNNNNNNNNNNNNNNNNNNNNNNNNNNNNNNNNNNNNNNNNNNNNNNNNNNNNNNNNNNNNNNNNNNNNNNNNNNNNNNNNNNNNNNNNNNNNNNNNNNNNNNNNNNNNNNNNNNNNNNNNNNNNNNNNNNNNNNNNNNNNNNNNNNNNNNNNNNNNNNNNNNNNNNNNNNNNNNNNNNNNNNNNNNNNNNNNNNNNNNNNNNNNNNNNNNNNNNNNNNNNNNNNNNNNNNNNNNNNNNNNNNNNNNNNNNNNNNNNNNNNNNNNNNNNNNNNNNNNNNNNNNNNNNNNNNNNNNNNNNNNNNNNNNNNNNNNNNNNNNNNNNNNNNNNNNNNNNNNNNNNNNNNNNNNNNNNNNNNNNNNNNNNNNNNNNNNNNNNNNNNNNNNNNNNNNNNNNNNNNNNNNNNNNNNNNNNNNNNNNNNNNNNNNNNNNNNNNNNNNNNNNNNNNNNNNNNNNNNNNNNNNNNNNNNNNNNNNNNNNNNNNNNNNNNNNNNNNNNNNNNNNNNNNNNNNNNNNNNNNNNNNNNNNNNNNNNNNNNNNNNNNNNNNNNNNNNNNNNUGUUCUUGAGAUUUACCUGUAUAUUGUUAAUGAAGAAAUGAAGAAGAUUGAUUUAGUGUUAUUAGUGUCUUGUUUUGCUAAAUUUUGUAUAUUGUUAUCAAGAAUGAGAAGAUUGAUAGUGUUUAUUAGUGGUUCUUGUUUUGCUAAAUUUUGUAUAUUGUUAUCAAGAAAUGAGAAGAUUGAUAGUGUUUAUUAGUGUUCUUGUUUUGCUAAAUUUUGUAAUUUUGUUAUCAAGAAAAUGAGAAAGGUAGAUGUUAUUAAGUGUCUUGUUUUGGCUAAUUUUGUAUAUUGUUAUCUAAGAAAUGAGAAGAUUGAUAGUGUUAUUAGUGUUCUUGUUUUGCUAAAUUUGUAUAUUGUUAUCAAAGAAAUGAGAAAGAUUGAAUAGUGUUAUUAGUGUUCUUGUUUUGGCUAAUUUUGUAUAUUUGUUAUCAAGAAAUAGAAGAUUGAUAGUGUUAUUAGUGUUCUUUUUGCUAAAUUUUGUAUAUUGUUAUCAAGAAAUGAGAAGAUUGAUAGUGUUAUUAGUGUUCUUGUUUGCUAAAUUUUGUAUAUUGUUAUCAAGAAAUGAGAAAGAUUGAUAGUGUUAUUAGUGUUCUUGUUUUGCUAAAUUUUGUAUAUUGUUAUCAAGAAAUGAGAAGAUUGAUAUGUGUUAUUAGUGUUCUUGUUUUGCUAAAUUUUUGUAUAUUGUUAUCAAGAAAUAGAGAAGAUUGAUAGUGUUAUUAGUGUUCUGUUUUGCUAAAUUUUGUAUAUUGUUAUCAAGAAAUGAGAAGAUUGAUAGUGUUAUUAGUGUUCUUGUUUUGCUAAAUUUUGUAUAUUGUUAUCAAGAAAUUGAGAAAGAUUGAUAGUGUUAUUAGUGUUCUUGUUUUGCUAAUUUUUUGUAUAAAUUGUUAUCAGAGAAAUGAGAAGAUUGAAGUGUUACUAUAGUGUUCUUGUUAUCAAAACAUUAACAGCUGACAAUCCCUUUACCAAAUCUCCCAAAUGAAAGGCAUUGCGCAUGGGAAUUCUCCAUAGCUCUGUUAGUGCAGAAUAUGGGAUAAUGUGGUAUAGAUACACAAACUAGGACGGAUGUAGCCAUGACGCACUGUAUCGUUCGGGAAUUUAUGAUGGCUCUCAAAGGCCACACCGCCGCUGGCUUCCUAUAUCCCGUACGCACAUCUUAGGACGCGGGUAUUACGUGAUUUAUUUUUUUGCUCUUUAACCACUUACCUGUAUACUUGUUAUGAGAAAUGAAAGGAUUUAUAGUGUUAUUAGUGGUUCUGUAAAUUGCGCUAAAUUUGUAAUAAUGUCUAAAGAAAAUGAGAAGAAUCUGAUAGUUUAUUAGUGUUCUUGUUUGCUAAAUUUGGUAUAUGUGUCAGAAAUAAGGAAGAUUGAUAUGUUGUAGUGUUCUGUUUUGCUAAAUUGUAUAGUUAUCACAGAAAUGAGAAAGAUUGAUACUUAUUAUUUCUUUUUUGCCAAAUUGUAUAUUAUAAAAUGAGAAAUGAUGGUAUAUUAUUGUGUUGUUGUUUUGCUAAAUUUUGUACUAUCUAGUUAUCAUGAAAUUAGAGAUUAUAUAGGUCGUUGGAAUUGUAAUUUCUGUCUAUGUUAAUCUUUUGCUAAAUUGUAUAUUGUUAUCAAGAAAUGAAAAUGAUUUUAUUUUUUGUGUUCUAAUUUGGUUAUGGCUGAAAUAAGUGAUAUUAUUGUGUUGUCAAAAAUGAUAUCUGACAAUAAAUGAUAGAUUAAAUGUCUGUGUUUUGCUAAAUUUGUAUACAUGUUAUCCUAAAAAUGAGAACAUGGAUAAGUGUUACAUAGUGUUCUUACGUUUGUUGGAAAUUUGUAUAUUGUUAUCAGAAUGGAAGAAUUGAAUAGUGUUAUUAGUGUUCUUGUUUUGCCUAAUUUUUGUAUAUUUUACAAGAAAUGAGAAAUGAUAGUGUAUUAGUGUUCUUGUGGUUUGCUAAUUUGUCAUAAUGUUAAUCCAGAAAGAGAAAUCUGAUCAUGUAUAUAGUUCUUGUUUGGCUACAAAUUUGUUAUUAUUAUCAAGAAAAGAAUAGUUAUAGUUUCUUUGUUUUGCUAAAUUUGUAAUAUUUUGUCAAGAAAAUAAAAUUGAUAGUUAUUAGUGCUUGUUGCAAACUUUAUAAUUGUUAUCAAGAAUGCAAAAGAUCGGAUAGCUGUUAUAGUUUCUUGUGUUUGCUAAUAUUUGUAUAUUCUUUACAGGAAAUAGAAGAUAGAUAUGGUUAUAGUUCUUGUUUGCUAAAUUGUGCUAUAUGAUUAUCAAGAAAUGAAAAAAACUUGGAUAGUGUUAUAUAUGUUUCUGUUUUUGCUAAAUUUAAGUUAUUGUUACCAAGAAGAGAAGAUUUGAUAGUGUUAUUAGUCGUUCUGUUUUGCUAUUUGUAUGAUGGUUUGCAAGAAAUAGCAAGAUUGGAUAGUGUUAUAGUGUCUUCGUUUGCUAAAUUAGUCAUAUUGUUCAAAGAAAUGAGAAAUUGAAGUAUGUCGGUUCAAAUGUAUUUAUAAGAGAUGUUGUACCUGCUUUUGCUAAAUUGUUGUAUAAUUGUAUCAAUGAAAAAAGAUGAAAUGUUGAUUAGUGUCUCUUGUUUUGCUAAAUAUUGUAUAUUGUUAUCAAGAAAGAAGAGAUUGAUAUGUUGUUAGGUUCUUAGUUUUGCUAAUUUUGUUAUCAUGUUUAUAAAGAAAUGAGAAGAUUGAUAGUUUAUUAAGUGUUCUUGUUCGUAAAUUUGUAAUUUAUUUCAAGAAAUGAGAAAGUGAUAGUGUUAUUAGUGUUCUGUUUGCCUAAAUUUUGUAUAUUGUUAUCAAGUAAAAAUGAGAAGAUUGAUAUUAAUUAGUUUAUUGUUUGCUAAAUUUGUAUAUUGUUAUCAAGAAAUCAGAAGAUGAUUAGUGUUAUUAGUGAUCUUUGUUUCCCUAAAUUUUGUAAUAUCUUAUCAAGAAAUGAGAAAUGAAUGUUUAUAGUGUCUUGUUUGCUAAAUUUUAUAUAUUUUAUCAAGAAAUAGAAGAUGAAGUGUUAAUUAGUGUUCUUGUUUUGCUAAAUUUUGAUUAUAUUUGUCAAGAAAUGAGAAGAUUGAUAAAUGUUAUUAGUGUUCUUGUUUGCUAAAAUUUUGUAUAUUGUUAUCAAGAAAUGAGAAGAUGAUAGUGUAUAUAGUGUUUCUUUUGUUUUGCUAAAUUUUGUAUAUGUAUACAAAAAUUAGAAGAUCGAUAGUGUUAUUAGUGUUCCUUGUUUUGCUAAAUUUUGUAUAUUGUUAUCUCAAAGAAAUGAGAAGAUUGAUAGUGUUAUUAGUGUUCUUGUUUUGCUAAAUUUUGUAUAUUGUUAUCAAGAAAUGAAGAAGAUUGAUAGUGUUAUUAGUGUUCUUGUUUUGCUAAAUUUUGUAUAUUGUUAUCAAGAAAUGAGAAGAUUGAUAUGUUAUUAGUGUUUGUUUUUGCUAAAUUUGUAUAUUGUUAUCAAGAAAUAGAAGAUUGAUAGUGUUAUUAGUGUUCUUGUUUGCUAAAUUUUGUAUAUUGUUAUCAAGAAAUGAAGAGAUUGAUAGUGUUAUUAGUGUUCUUGUUUUGCUAAAAUUUUGUAUAUUGUUAUCAAGAAAUGAGAAGAUUGAUAGUGUUAUUAGUGUUCUUGUUUUGCUAAUUUUGUAUAUUGUUAUCAAAGAAAUGAGAAGAUUGAUAUGUUUUAGUGUCUUCGUUUUGCUAAAUUUUUGUAUAUUGUAUCAAAGAAAUGAGAAGAUUGAUAGUGUUAUUAGUGUUCUUGUUUGCUAAAUUUUGUAUAUUGUUAUCAAGAAAUGAGAAGAUGAUAGUGUUAUUAGUGUUUCUUGUUUUGCUAAAUUUUUGUAUAUUUUUAUCAAGAAAUGAGAGAUUGAUAGUGUUAUUAGUGUUUGUUUUGCUAAUUUGUAUAUUGUUAUCAGAAAUGAGAAGAUUGAUAGUGUUAUUUAGUGUUCUUGUUUUCCUAAAUUUUGUAUAUUUUAUCAAGAAAUGAGAAGAUUGAUAGUGUUAUUAGUGUUCUUGUUUGCUAAAUUUUAUAUUGUUAUCAAGAAAUGAGAAGAUUGAUAGUGUUAUUAGUGUUCUUGUUUUGCUAAAUUUUGUAUAUUGUUUUCAAGAAAUGAGAAGAUUGAUAGUGUUAUUAGUGUUCUUGUUUUGCUAAAUUUUGUAUUAUUGUUAUCAAGAAAAUGAGAGAUGAUAUGUAUUAGUGUUCUUGUUUUGCUAAAUUUGUAUAUUGUUAUCAAAGAAAUGAGAAGAUUGGAUAGUGUUAUUAGUGUUCUUGUUUUGCUAAAUUUUGUAUAUUGUUUCAAGAAAUGAGAAGAUUGAUAGUGUUAUUAGUGUUCUUGUUUUGCUAAAUUUUGUAUAUUGUUAUCAAAGAAAUGAGAAGAUUGAUAGUGUUAUAGUGUUCUUGUUUUGCUAAAUUUUGUAUAUUGUUAUCAAGAAAUGAGAAGAUUGAUAGUGUUAUUAGUGCUUGUUUUGCCUAAAUUUUGUAUAUUGUUAUCAAGAAAUGAGAAGAUUGAUAGUGUUAUUAGUGUUCUUGUUUUGCUAAAUUUUGUAUAUUGUUAUCAGAAAUGAGAAGAUUUGAUAGUGUUAUUAGUGUUCUUGUUUUGCUAAAUUUUAUAUUGUUAUCAAGAAAUGAGAAGAUUGAUAGUGUUAUUAGUGUUCUUGUUUUGCUAAAUUUGUAUAUUGUUAUCAAGAAAUGAGAAGAUUGAUAGUGUUAUUAGUGUUCUUGUUUUGCUAAAUUUUGUAUAUUGUUAUCAAGAAUGAGAAGAUUGAUAGUGUUAUUAGUGUUCUGUUUUGCUAAAUUUUGUAUAUUGUUAUCAAAGAAAUGAGAAGAUUGAUAGUGUUAUUAGUGUUCUUGUUUUGCUAAAAUUUAGUAUAUUGUGUAUCAAUAAGAAUGAGAAGAUUGAUAGUGUUAUGAUGUUCUUGUUUGCUAAAUUUUGUAUAUUGUUAUAGAAAUGAGAAGAUUGAUAGUGUAUUAGUGUUCUUGUUUUGCUAAAUUUUGUAUAUUGUUAUCAAGAAAUGAGAAGGUUGAUAGUGUUAUUAGUGUUCUUGUUUUUGCUAAUUUUGUAUAUUGUUAAUGCAAGAAAUGAGAAGAUUGAUAGUGUUAUUAGUGUUCUUUUGUCUUGAAUAUUUUUAUUUGUUACAAGAAAUUGAGAGAUUGAUAGUGUUUAUUUUGUGUUUCUUGUAUCAAGAAACGUUGGACGCUGACCCUUUAGCAAAUCUCUCAAAAAUGAAAGCUUUGCUAAUUUUGUAUAUUGUUAUCAAGAAAUGAGAAGAUUGAUAGUGUUUUUAGUGUUCUUGUUUUGCUAAAUUUUGUAUAUUGUUAUCAAGAAAUAAGGAGAUUGAUAAUGUUGUUAGUGUUCUUAUUUUGCUAAAUUUUGUAUAUUGUUAUCAAGAAAUGAGAAGAUUGAUAGUGUUAUUAGUGUUCUUGUGUUGCUAAAUUUGUAUAUUGUUAUCAAGAAAUGAGAAGAUUGAUAGUGUUAUUAGUGUUGUUGUUUUGCUAAAUUUUGUAUAUUGUUAUCUAGAAAAUAGAAGAUUGAUAGUGUUAUUACUGUUCUUGUUUUGCUAAUUUUGUAUAUUGUUAUCAAGAAAUGAGAAGAUUGAUAGUGUUAUUAGUGUUCUUGUUUCGCUAAAUUUUGUAUAUUGUUGACCAGAAAUGAGAAGAUUGAUAGUGUUAUUAGUGUUCUUGUUUUGCUAAAUUUUGUAUAUUGUUAUCAAAAAAUGAGAAGAUUGAUAGUGUUACUAGUGUGCUUGUUUUGCUAAAUUUUGUAUAUUGUUAUCAAGAAAUGAGAAGAUUGAUAGUGUUAUUAGUGUUCUUGUUUUACUAAAUUUUGUAUAUUGUUAUCAAGAAAUGAGAAGAUUGAUAGUGUUAUUUAUCACGAAUAUGAGACGGAUUGAUAGUGUUAUUAGUGUUCUUGUUUUGCUAAUUUUGUAUAUUGUUAUAAGAAAUGAGAAGAUUGAUAGUGUAUUAUGUGUUCUUGUUUGGCUAAUUUGUAUAUUGUUAUCAAGAAAUGAAGCGAUUGUAGUGUUAUUAGUGUUCUUGUUUUGCUAAUUUUGUAUAUUUUCAAGAAAUGAGAGAUAUGAUUGAUAUUUUAGGUUAGUGUUUGCUAAGAUUGGUCUAGAGUAUAAUGGAAUUGAUAUUAGUUCUGUUCUUGUUUGCUAAAUUUGUAUAUUGUUAUCAAGAAAUGAGAGAUUGAUAGUGUUAUUAGUGUUCUUGUUUUGCUAAAUUUUGUAUAUUGUUAUCAAGAAAUGAGAAGAUUGAUAGUGUUAUUAGUGUUUGUGUUUGCUAAAUUUUGUAUAUUGUUAUCAAAAAUGAGAAGAUUGAUAGUGUUCUUGUUUUGCUAAAUUUUGUAUAUGUUAUCAAGAAAUGAGAAGAUUGAAGUGUUAUUAGUGUUCUUGUUUUGCUAAAUUUUGUAUAUUGUUAUCAAGAAAUGAGAAGAUUGAUAGUGUUAUUAGUGUUGUUUUUGCUAAAUUUUGUAUAUUGUUAUAAGAAAUGAGAAGAUUGAUAGUUGUUAUAGUGUUCUUGUUUGCUAAAUUUUGUAUUAGUUAUCAAGAAAUGAGAAGAUUGAUAGUGUAUUAGUGUCUUGUUUUGCUAAAUUUGUAUAUUGUUAACAAAUGAGAAGAUGAUAGUGUUAUUAGUGUUCUUGUUUUUUUUUAAAUUUUGUAUAUUGUUAUCAAGAAAUGAGAAGAUUGAUAGUGUUAUUAGUGUUCUUUUUUGCUAAAUUUUGUAUAUUGUUAUAAGAAAUGAGAAGAUUGAUAGUGUAUAGUGUUCUUGUUUGCUAAAUUUGUAUAUUGUUAUCAAGAAAUGAGAAGAUUGAUAGUGUUAUUUAGUGUUCUUGUUUUCUAAAUUUUGUAUAUUGUUAUCAAGAAAUGAGAGAUUGAUAGUGUUAUUAGUGUUUUUGUUUUGCUAAUUUUGUAUAUUGUUAUCAAGAAAUGAGAAGAUGAUAGUGUUAUAGUGUUCUUGUUUUUGCUAAAUUUUGUAUAUUGUUAUCAAAGAAUGAGAGAUUGAUAGUGUUUUUUCGUCUUAUUGUUCAUUUAUAGAGAUGUUAUGAUCGUAGUUAUUUAAUUGGUUCUCUUGUUUUGAAAUUUGUAUAUUGUUAUCAAGAAAUGAGAGAUUUGAUAGUGUUAUUAGUGUUCUUGUUUUGAAAUUUUCUAUAUUGUUAUAAAAAUAAGGAUGAUUUAGUAUAUUCGUGUAUAUGUUUGCUAUUAUAUUGUAUAUUGUUAUCAAGAAAUGGAAGAUUGAUAGUGUUAUUAGUGUUCUUGUUUUUCUAAUUUUUAUAUUGUUAUCAAGAUAAAUAGUAGAUUGAUAGUGUUAUAUAGUGUUCUUGUUUUGCUAAAUUUUUAUAUUGUUAUUAAGAAAUGAGAAAGAUCUGAGUUAUAGUUUCUUGUUCUUUGCUAAAUUUGUAUAUUGUUAUCAAGAAUGAGAGAUUGAUAGUGUAUUAGUGUUCUUGUUUUGCUAAAUUUGUAUAUUGUUAUAAAAUGAGAAGAUUGAUAGUUUUUGUUUGCAAUUGAUGGAUAGUGAAUAUAUUUUUAGUGUCUUAUAUAUUUGUUUUGUAAUUGUUAUCAAGAAAUGAGAAGAUUGAGUGUUAUUAGUGUUCUUGUUUUGCUAAAUUUUGUAUAUUGUUAUUCAAAAAUGAGAAGAUUGAUGUUAUGUUCUUUGUUUUGCUAAAUUUGUAUAUUGUUAUCAAGAAAUGAGAAGAUUGAAGUGUUAUUAGUGUUCUUGUUUUGCUAAAAUUUUGUAUAUUGUUAUCAAGAAAUGAGAAGAUUGAUAGUGUUAUUAGUGUUCUUGUUUGCCCAAAUUUGUGUAUAUUGUUAUUCAAGUAAAAGAGAGAUUGAUAGUUUUAUUAGUGUUCUUGUUUUGCUAAAUUUUGUAUAUUUUAUCAAGAAAUGAGAAGAUGAUAGUGUUAUUAGUGUUCUUGUUUUGCUAAAUUUUGUAUAUUGUUAUCAAGAAAUGAGAGAUGAUUAGUGUUAUUAGUGUUCUUGUUUUGUUUUUAAUUUUGUAUAUUGUUAUCAAGAAAUGAGAAGAUUGAUAGUGUUAUUAGUGUUCUUUUUUGCUAAAUUUGUAUAUUGUUAUUAAGAAAUGAGAAGAUUGAUAGUGUUAUUAGUGUUCUUGUUUUGCAAAUUUUGUAUAUUGUUAUCAAGAAAAUGAGAAGAUUGAUAGUGUUAUUGUUCUUGUUUUUGCUAAAUUUUGUAUAUUGUUACAAGAAAUGAGAAGAUUGAUAGUGUUAUUGUGUUUUGUUUUGCCUAAAUUUGUAUAUUGUUAUCAAGAAUGAGAAGAUUGAUAGUGUUAUUAGUGUUCUUGUUUUGCUAAAUUUUGUAUAUUGUUAUCAAGAAAUGAGAAGAUUGAUAGUGUUAUUAUGUGCGGUUUUCCUAAUUUUUUAUAUUUGUUAUCAAGAAAUGGAGUUGAUAGUGUUAUUAGUGUUCUUUUUUGAAAUUUUGUAUUUGUUAUCAAGAAAUGAGAAGAUUGAUAGUGUUAUUUUUCUGUUGUGUUUGCUAAAUUUUCGUAUUUGUUUAUAAGAAAUGAGAAAGAUUAUAGUGUUAUUAGUGUUCUUGUUUUGCUAAAUUUUAGUAAUUGUUAUUCAGAAAAUGAGAAGAUGAUAGUGUUAUUAGUGUUCUUGUUUUUCUAAAUUUUGUUAUAUGUUAUCAAGAAAUGAGAAGAUUGAUAGUGUUAUUAGUGUUCUUGUUUUGCUAUAUUUUGUAUAUUGUUAUCAAGAAUGAGAGUUAGUAGUGUAUUAGUUUUUCUUGUUGAUUUGUAUUAUUUUAUCAAGAAAAUGAGAAGAUUGAUAGUGUUUUAGUGUUCCUUGUUUUGCUAAAUUUGUAUAUUGUUAUCAAGAAAUGAGAAGAUGAUAGUGUUAUUAGUGUUCUUGUUUUUUUAAAUUUUGUAUAUUGUUAUAAGAAAUGAGAAGAUUGAAGUGUUAUUAGUGUUUCUUUUUUGCUAAAUUUUUAUUUUGUUAUUAAGAAAUGAGAAGAUUGAUAGUGUUAUUAGUGUUCUUGUUUUGCUAAAUUUUGUAUAUUGUUAUCAAGAAAUGAGAAGAUGAUAGUUUAUUAGUGUUCUUGUUUGCUAAAUUUUGUAUAUUGUUAUCAAGAAAUGAAGAUUGAUAGUGUUAUUAGUGUUCUUGUUUUGCUAAAUUUUGUAUAUUUUAUCAAGAAAUGAGAGAUUGAUAGUUAUUUAGUGUUCUUGUUUUGCUAAUUUUGUAUAUUGUUAAUGAAGAAUGAGAAGAUUGAUAGUGUUAUUAGUGUUCUUGUUUUGCUAAUUUUGUAUAUUGUUAUCAAGAAUGAGAGAUUGAUAGUGUUAUUAGUUGUUCUUGUUUUGCUAAAUUUUGUAUAUUGGUUUAUCAAAAUGAGAAGAUUGAUAGUGUUCUUGUUUUGCUAAAUUUUGUAUAUUGUUAUCAAGAAAUGAGAAAUUGAUAGUGUUAUUAGUGUUCUUGUUUGCUAAAUUUUGUAUAUUGUUAUCAAGAAAUGAGAAGAUUGAUAGUGUUAUUAGUGUUCUUGUUUUGUCUUGAAGUGUUCUUGUUUUGCUAAAUUUUGUAUAUUGUUAUCAAGAAAUAAGAAGAUUGAUAGUGUUAUUAGUGUUCUUGUUUUGCUAAAUUUUGUAUAUUGUUGUCAAGAAAUGAGAAGAUUGAUAAUGUUGUUAGUGUUCUUGUUUUGCUAAAUUUUUUAUAUUGUUAUCAAGAAAUGAGAAGAUCGAUAGUGUUAUUAGUGUUCUUGUUUUGCUAAAUUUUGUAUAUUGCUAUAAAAAAUUAGAAGAUCGAUAAUGUUAUUAGUGUUCUUGUUUUGCUAAAUUUUGUAUAUUGUUAUCAAGAAAUGAAAAGAUUGAUAAUGUUAUUAGUGUUCUUGUUUUACUAAAUUUAGUAUAUUGUUAUCAAGAAAUGAGAAGAUUGAUAGUGUUAUUAGUGUUCUUGUUUUGCUAAAUUUUGUAUAUUGUUAUCAAGAAAUGAGAAGAUUGAUAGUCUUAUUAGUGUUCUUGUUUCGCUAAUUUUGUAUAUUCUUAUCAAGAAAUUAGAAGAUUGAUAGUGUUAUUAGUGUUCUUGUUUUGCUAAAU